UACGUAGGGGGCAAGCGUUGUCCGGAAUUAUUGGGCGUAAAGAGCGUGUAGGCGGUCCGGUAAGUCGGCUGUGAAAGUCCAGGGCUCAACCCUGGGAUGCCGGUCGAUACUGCCGGACUAGAGUUCGGAAGAGGCGAGUGGAAUUCCCGGCGUAGCGGUGAAAUGCGCAGAUAUCGGGAGGAACACCUAUGGCGAAGGCAGCUCGCUGGGACGUUACUGACGCUGAGACGCGAAAGCUAGGGGAGCAAACAGG
rnacentral:rRNA from 1 species